GUCAAACAAUGAUGUGGUAAUUUUCAAACACAUAUCUGAUGAUUCCAUGUAGAAUUCAGUCACUAUGAGUUUCCUGGGG
ensembl:snoRNA